rnacentral:rRNA from 1 species
AUUGAACGCUGGCGGCAUGCUUUACACAUGCAAGUCGAACGGCAGCGCGGGCUUCGGCCUGGCGGCGAGUGGCGAACGGGUGAGUAAUGCAUCGGAGCGUGCCCAGUAGUGGGGGAUAGCCCGGCGAAAGCCGGAUUAAUACCGCAUACGACCUGAGGGUGAAAGCGGGGACCGAAAGGCCUCGCGCUAUUGGAGCGGCCGAUGUCGGAUUAGCUAGUUGGUGGGGUAAAGGCUUACCAAGGCGACGAUCCGUAGCUGGUCUGAGAGGACGACCAGCCACACUGGGACUGAGACACGGCCCAGACUCCUACGGGAGGCAGCAGUGGGGAAUUUUGGACAAUGGGGGCAACCCUGAUCCAGCCAUGCCGCGUGCGGGAAGAAGGCCUUCGGGUUGUAAACCGCUUUUGUUCGGGAAGAAAUCCUCUGGGCUAAUACCCCGGGGGGAUGACGGUACCGGAAGAAUAAGCACCGGCUAACUACGUG